rnacentral:rRNA from 1 species
UACAGAGGUCUCAAGCGUUUGUUCGGAUUCAUUGGGCGUAAAGGGUGCGUAGGCGGCGCGGUAAGUCGGGUGUGAAAUCUUGGAGCUUAACUCCGAAACUGCAUUCGAUACUGCCGUGCUUGAGGACUGGAGAGGAGACUGGAAUUUACGGUGUAGCGGUGAAAUGCGCAGAUAUCAGGAAGAACACCCGUGGCGAAGGCGGCUCUCGUGGGACGGUACUGACGCUGAGACGCGAAAGCGUGGGGAGCAAACAGG